rnacentral:tRNA from 1 species
CNAAGCAAGGCACUGAAAAUGCCUAGAUGAGUAUAUUAACUCCAUAAACA